UACGUAGGUGGCAAGCGUUGUUCGGAAUUACUGGGCGUAAAGCGUGCGUAGACGGUUAUGUAAGUCGGGUGUGAAAGCCCCGGGCUCAACCUGGGAAUUGCAUUCGAGACUGCAUAGCUAGGAUGCGGAAGAGGGAAGUGGAAUUCCCGGUGUAGUGGUGAAAUGCGUAGAUAUCGUAAGGAAGACCAGUGGCGAAGGCGGGUCUCUGGACAGUUCCUGACGCUGAGGCACGAAGGCCAGGGGAGCAAACGGG
rnacentral:rRNA from 1 species